GAGAAGACUGCAAGAAAUGCAGGCUCAGCAGCAGCGAGAAAAGGAGACCUUCAGACAGGAGAUUGCUGUUCAUAAACAAAAGGCUCAUGAUAUUGAGGUAAAAAUUUUUCAUGUGUUGUUUCCAUUCUGCCCUCUUCUCCACAACUGAAUGUGCAUGUAUUUUCCUCCCCACAGCUCAGGGCUCAAGCUCUGGAGCGGGAGUUGAUGGUGCAGAAGAGGGAGACUGCCCACUUGCAACACAGAUUGGAAAUAAUGCAGGCAGAGGAAUCCAGGAGGCAGAAGCCAGUGUCAGGGGGACCUGGCUGGGAGAACCCUCCACGGAGAGAUUCCAGAAGUUGUGCAGGUCACAUGAAGAACCAAGGCUCAUCCCCUGCUGAGGACACCAGGAAGGAACAGGUCAGCAUGGCUGCAGGAGGACCUCCUCCUUUCCCAAGACCACCCUACAUGCCCUACCACAUGGGGGGCUACAAAGAAUCCUUCAUGGGCUAUCCGCCACCUCCUCCACCCUGGUGGAUUCCAAGACCUCGGCCAGCACCUCUGUCUCCAGAAUUUGGUAGGAUGAUCUACCCUGAAUGAACUGACUUGCAAAGUGUACCGAGUAUCUUUUCUCUCAUUUUUAUUCCGACAACAAAAUAUC
rnacentral:lncRNA from 1 species